ACCUCUGUGGUGUAGUUGGUAACAUCUUGGCACAGCAAUUAUGUGCCCUAGGUUCAAGUCCCGGUUGGGGUA